UGCGAGGCAGUGUUAGGGCACGUAGGGUUUUGGACCUUAAGGGGGGAAGAAAUAUCAAUUCCCCCUCGUAG
rnacentral:tRNA from 1 species